rnacentral:rRNA from 1 species
UACGUAGGGGGCAAGCGUUGUCCGGAUUCAUUGGGCGUAAAGAGCGUGUAGGCGGCCAGGUAGGUCGGUUGUGAAAACUGGAGGCUCAACCUUCAGAGGUCGACCGAAACCAUCUGGCUAGAGUCCGGGAGAGGAGAGUGGAAUUCCUGGUGUAGCGGUGAAAUGCGUAGAUAUCGGGAGGAACACCUGUGGCGAAAAGCGGCUCACUGGACCACAACUGACGCUGAGGCGCGAAAGCUAGGGGAGCAAACAGG